AUUUAAUUCUUCUUAAAAAUUCAAAUAUGACGGGUUUCUGUUUGUCUGAUAGUUCUUCUCAUGUUUGAUACCAGAGUUCUGGAAGCAAAUUCCGCCAAAUGAACCAUAUCGUGUUAUUCUUGCUGAUGUGAGGGACAAGCUGUAUCAUACACGUGAACGUGCUCGUCAAUUGCUAGCCAAUGGAAUCUCUGAUAUUCCAGAGGAGGCAACCUUCAUCAAUGUUGAUGAGGUCUGGCCCUGACAAGAACUUGUAUCUUCGCUAAUUCGCUCACAUUUUUAAUUUUCAGAAUGCAAGUUGUGAACAAAUUGACUGAAUAUUUUUGAAACAUUAGAUGUAUCAUAGAGACUCAUUAUUACUGUCAUUGCUUUAUUAUGCGCAAUUGCCUGUGGGCUUGAUCAACAAUCUCUGUGGAUUAGUUUAUUAUCACUCUAUGCCAACUCAUUCUACAGCACACAUUUCUAUAGAUGAUAAAAAUAAAAGCAAACAAAUCCCUUUUACCUUGUACAGUGUAUAGGUUAUUAUUACAAACAGGAUCCGAAAAACAUAGAUGAAAACAUAAAAUCGCAGAUUACAUCAUAAACCCUAAAUCACAACAUCAAGGCUUAGAUCUCUCAAUCGAAGGCUCAAACCACGCCCAUUUUACCAUCACAGAGGCACCGAGACUCAAACACAAACCCUCACAACCCAACACACCAAGGUCACUUCACUGGACUCAAGAAAUCAAACUGCCUACCUUCGGUCGAUUACUCACACAAAGGAGAAUCACACAAGAACACGAUUAUCACAAAGAUAAUCAACCAGAAAUCUCACAAAGAGAAGAAGGAAGGGUCACACAGACAGGGAACACGAAGGUUCCAGAAGGCAGAGAGAAAGAAAGAAAUCAGAAAUGACGAUCCCAAGAGCCAAACAAGGAGUAAGGGGGAUAUUUAUAGGUAAUAUCAUCAACCGUUGAUCAGCGGGUCAAUCCAACGGUCCAAGAGCGACUAAGGUGUGUGGGCUGGAUAUUGGGCUCGGUUAAGUGGGCCUUCUAGGUAUAUAAUUAAUGGACCAAGUAUUAAAUCCAUUUUGGGCCUUUUCAUCAUUGCCUAACAGUUGGACUNGUCGAUUACUCACACAAAGGAGAAUCACACAAGAACACGAUUAUCACAAAGAUAAUCAACCAGAAAUCUCACAAAGAGAAGAAGGAAGGGUCACACAGACAGGGAACACGAAGGUUCCAGAAGACAGAGAGAAAGAAAGAAAUCAGAAAUGACGAUCCCAAGAGCCAAACAAGGAGUAAGGGGGAUAUCUAUAGGUAAUAUCAUCAACCGUUGAUCAGCGGGUCAAUCCAACGGUCCAAGAGUGACUAAGGUGUGUGGGCUGGAUAUUGGGCUCGGUUAAGUGGGCCUUCUAGGUAUAUAAUUAAUGGACCAAGUAUUAAAUCCAUUUUGGGCCUUUUCAUCAUUGCCUAACAGUUGGACUGGAUCAAAUGGCAUCACAGCCCAACAGUUAUUUUAAGUGGCAAGUAAUUAAUUAAUUGGUUCGAUCCAUCUCACUUCUAGGUUUGUUUUGAACUACUCACAAAUGGAGAAUUUAAGUAUGUUAAAUGAAUUUAUGCUUUUUGAGAGUGAAAGUUUCUGAUAGAAGAGGGUAAAUAACCAACAUCCUAAUGGAAUACUGUUGAAAUGUCUUCUGAGAGGAACUAGUGCUGAUGAAUGUAGUGAUGGAUGCAGUGCCAUAUUGACAAUAGAACGUAAAUAAUUGAAGAUACUCGUACACAAGAAACCAAUUAGAGAAGAGAAAUUAAAUUCUGAAGAAUUUAAUGAUGGAUUUGUCAUAUAAAUAGUAUACCUUUAUAACAAACAUUGAAUAUGCAUUUAGCUUGCAUUUUAUUUCUUUAGUUUAUUUGUGAUCCAUGAACACCAAAAAUUGUAAAGUUGCAAGAAAAUAGAACUGUUGUGUUGUGUAAUGUUUAUGUAAUUCUGCAUACUGAUGAUUCAUUUUCUUCAUCUUCAGUUUCUUGAGCCUCUUAAGCUGUGUUAUAGAUCACUCAGUGAUUGCGGUGAUCGGCCAAUUGCUGAUGGAAGCCUUCUUGAUUUCUUACGACAAGUUUCAACGUUUGGGCUUGCACUCGUGAGACUUGAUAUAAGGCAAGAGUCAGAUAGGCACACUGAUGUUCUAGAUGCUAUUACAAGGCACCUGGAGAUCGGGUCGUACAAAGAAUGGUCAGAAGAACGCAGACAGGAGGGGCUUUUAUCUGAACUUAGUGGCAAACGCCCUCUUUUUGGGCCCGAUCUUCCCAAAACCGAAGAAAUUGCUGAUGUCUUAGAAACCUUUCAUGUCAUUGCUGAACUCCCGUCGGAUAACUUUGGGGCCUACAUAAUUUCCAUGGCAACUGCCCCAUCUGAUGUCCUUGCAGUAGAGCUUUUACAACGCGAGUGCCAUGUCAAAAAUCCUCUAAGGGUGGUCCCAUUGUUUGAAAAGCUUGAUGAUCUUGAGGCUGCACCUGCUGCUGUGGCUCGGCUUUUCUCAAUAGAUUGGUAUCGUAAUAGGAUUAAUGGGAAACAAGAAGUCAUGAUUGGGUAUUCGGAUUCAGGAAAGGAUGCUGGACGGCUUUCUGCAGCAUGGCAGUUUUAUAAGGCCCAGGAGGAGCUUAUAAAGGUCGCAAAACAAUAUGGCAUAAAGCUCACAAUGUUUCAUGGCCGAGGUGGGACGGUUGGAAGAGGAGGCGGCCCAACCCAUCUUGCUAUAUUAUCUCAGCCACCGGACACCAUUCAUGGCUCACUUCGUGUCACUGUUCAAGGUGAAGUUAUUGAACAAUCAUUUGGCGAGGAGCACUUAUGUUUCAGAACGCUCCAACGUUUUACUGCAGCUACACUUGAGCAUGGAAUGCGCCCCCCUGUUGUACCGAAGCCAGAAUGGCGUGCUCUCAUGGAUGAGAUGGCUGUGUUUGCCACAAAAGAGUAUCGUUCUGUGGUUUUCCAGGAACCUAGAUUUGUUGAGUACUUCCGCCUCGUAAGUAUUUAUAUACUAUAGUAUUUUUUUGGUCAGAAUCUGCAAGAAAAUCACAUAUAAACACAGUAAACCUAAUAGGUUUAGAUUGAAGAAUGGUAACUUCUACAUGUGGAAAUAUAAGUUGGCAUCAAAGUUGGCAGUUUGACUAAAGAAGACUGAUAAUUGUUGGCUUACCCAUAUGGUGAAUAGGGCUUUUGUAACAUUUUCUUGUCUAGCUCUCUUUCUGAGAAUUGCAGGCAACACCUGAGUUAGAGUAUGGUCGGAUGAACAUCGGAAGCCGCCCAUCAAAAAGAAAGCCUGGCGGUGGAAUAGAAUCACUUCGAGCCAUUCCAUGGAUAUUUGCGUGGACGCAGACAAGAUUUCAUCUUCCUGUCUGGCUUGGCUUUGGAGCUGCAAUCAAGCAUGCCAUUGGGAAGGAUAUUAGAACUCUUCAAACUCUCAAGGAUAUGUACAAUGGAUGGCCUUUCUUCGGAGUGACAAUUGACUUGAUUGAAAUGGUUUUGGCCAAAGGAGACCCAGAAAUUGCUGCUUUGUACGACAAAUUUUUAGUGUCAGAAGAUUUGUGGCCAUUUGGAAAGCAACUGGGAAACAAUUAUGAAGAAACUAAGAAUCUGAUCCUUCAGGUAAGGGCCUUCUUUCCAUUUUAAUACCUUUAUUCACUAAAACAUAACUGUUCUACAACCUUAAUGUGGAUGCUAUUGUUGUUUCCCAUCACGCUUUACGCUAUCGUGUGAAAACUGUGUCCUGCUAAAUGAAAGAUGAAAUGGAAAGACUUUCUCAAUGUCGCUUUUCUUUGUGAAUAUAUGGUAAUUACUUUUCGAGUAUGUAAAAAAUUGACGGUUAGUUGAUUUUUGUCAACUUCCAAGAAAUAGAAGGUGAAAAAAGAAUGUUGAGCUGAGAAUGCGUGGUGGAUUUUAAUUUAUUUGUUUUGCAUGCUCAUCGUUCUUUUUAUUUUGGUUAACGAUAAAGAAGUUCAGUUGCUACUAGUUCAUGAUUAGUUCAACUUCCAUUCAAUGGAAGUAAUGCAAAAUAUCCUGAAAUGGGAAGCUGUUAUGGCCUCUCUUCUUAGGUUGCCGGACACAAGGAACUUCUCGAAGGAAAUCCCUACUCGAGGCAGAGAUUCCGACUUCGGGAUCCGUACAUCACCGUCCUUAACGUCUGCCAAGUCUACACGUUGAAGCAGAUACGUGAUCCAACUUACCGUGUAAAGGUGAGGCCACAUCUCUCAAAAGAGAUAAUGGAAAUGGAUAUGAGAAAACCGGCUGCUGAACUGGUGAAGCUCAACCCUAAAAGUGAGUAUGCUCCCGGGUUGGAAGUCACGCUUAUCUUGACCAUGAAGGGUAUUGCAGCUGGAAUGCAGAACACGGGCUAAGGUCGGGUUAUCUUGCCCGUGCUAGAUAUAUGGUGUCAGUUAAAUUACAAGGAAAUGAAAACGUGGCACUCGUUUGUUGGAUGCGAUAAUGUUGCCUGUAAGUACUUAACCAAGUAGCUUGCCCCAAAUAAAAUCUUAAAGCUUUUGUAUUUUGGUCAUUUGGUGCCUACCUUUAUAUGACAAUGCUCUGUGAGGAAACAUCAAAGGUUUAAGAAUACAGAGAUUAAGAAUUUGCUAUUUUAUUUUGAAAUGAUCUCUUCCUUUUUGUUGAA
rnacentral:lncRNA from 1 species